UUUAAAAACUCUUUUAAUCUUUUUUAUUUUUUUUUUUACCCGAAAAAAAAGUUUUAUAUUACUACAAGAAGUUCAGCUGCUCUGUAGACUGUAGAUGAUGAUGAUGAGGUACUAUCUUUCAACUUGUUGUUAUUCACCUCGUCGAGUUUUCUUAUCAACCGUCCCUUCGAUUUACAACCUCAUUACUGGAGAACAGUUGAAUACUUUUUACUCUGGUGAUCAAUAAAGUUGAUCUUUCAUCAGCUGA